CCUACGGGAGGCAGCAGUGGGGGAUAUUGGACAAUGGGGGGAACCCUGAUGCAGCGACGCCGCGUGGGUGAAGGAGCGUUUCGGCGCGUAAAGCCCUAUCGGCAGGGAAGAAGGAGGACGGUACCUGACUUAGAAGCCCCGGCUAACUACGUGCCAGCAGCCGCGGUAAUACGUAGGGGGCAAGCGUUAUCCGGAUUUACUGGGUGUAACGGGGGCGCAGACGGCAGCGCAAGCCAGGAGUGAAAGCCCGGGGCCCAACCCCGGGACUGCUCUUGGAACUGCGCGGCUGGAGUGCAGGAGGGGCAGGCGGAAUUCCUGGUGUAGCGGUGAAAUGCGUAGAUAUCAGGAGGAACACCGGUGGCGAAGGCGGCCUGCUGGACUGCGACUGACGUUGAGGCCCGAAAGCGUGGGGAGCAAACAGGAUUAGAUACCCGAGUAGUC
rnacentral:rRNA from 1 species